rnacentral:tRNA from 1 species
GUUUAAGUAGCUUAAUAAGAGUGUCAUAGUGAAGUUAUGAAGGUGGGAGUAAUACCUUUAAACA